UACGAAGGGGGCUAGCGUUGCUCGGAAUCACUGGGCGUAAAGGGUGCGUAGGCGGGUCUUUUAAGUCAGGGGUGAAAUCCUGGAGCUCAACUCCAGAACUGCCUUUGAUACUGAGGAUCUUGAGUUCGGGAGAGGUGAGUGGAACUGCGAGUGUAGAGGUGAAAUCCGUAGACUAUCAAGAACACCAGUGGCGAAGGCGGCUCACUGGCCCGAUACUGACGCUGAGGCACGAAAGCGUGGGGAGCAAACAGGG
rnacentral:rRNA from 1 species